AGUGAACGCUGGCGGUAGGCCUAACACAUGCAAGUCGAACGGCAGCACAGUAAGAGCUUGCUCUUACGGGUGGCGAGUGGCGGACGGGUGAGGAAUACAUCGGAAUCUACUUUUUCGUGGGGGAUAACGUAGGGAAACUUACGCUAAUACCGCAUACGACCUACGGGUGAAAGCAGGGGAUCUUCGGACCUUGCGCGAUUGAAUGAGCCGAUGUCGGAUUAGCUAGUUGGCGGGGUAAAGGCCCACCAAGGCGACGAUCCGUAGCUGGUCUGAGAGGAUGUUCGGCCCCACGGAACCUGAGCCGCGUUCCGGCCUCUAAGGGACGGCGCAGGUGGGGAUUGUUGGCAAAUGGCGCAAGCCUGAUCCAGCCAUACCGCGUGGGUGAAGAAGGCCUUCGGGUUGUAAAGCCCUUUUGUUGGGAAAGAAAAGCAGCAGGUUAAUACCCCGCUGUUCUGACGGUACCCAAAGAAUAAGCACCGGCUAACUUCGUG
rnacentral:rRNA from 1 species